CAUUAAUUAUGGCAAAAAAAUUGAAACUAUAUUUACUGACCGUAAAUAAAUUAAACUAUACCCUUAUUAACUAAUUACAUAGAGAUGGUUUCCCUUUCAAUAACCCAGCCCUUUUAUUUUACUUGACCCCGUCCAAAUCCCAGUUCAAAGAAAUCCAGAAGUUCAUCCCAACGCGUGCAAUUUCUCAACGCGUGAGAAGAAAGUACAGAAACGACAAGACGCGCGAGCAGCCCCGUACGAACCCGUCUCCUCCACGCGAAGGCAUAUGCGGAAAUGGAGAGUUCGCACUUCGCGAUGUCUCUCUCAACCUGUAGGGUCCGUACAAUCAACAACUUUAUUUCGUCCUUGUGCAGCUUUGUCCGCGUUUCAGGGUGUACUCGCCGGCGCGAGAUGAUGCCACGUCAAGGUGCGAGGACGAGUAGACGACCGAGGCCGUCAACUGUCUUGUUUAGAUUUUGUUUUGCCCAAAAUUGGGAUUUCCAGAAACGUAGAGAACAACUUUAGGAGCAGUUUGCUCGUAUUCGAGUUUCCUGUCGCGGUGGUGGAAGUCUGUCGCCGUCCAGGUCGCUGUUGUCUCAGUCGCUGCCUUCGAAAAGGUAAUAUUCCCUCUCUAAUUUUAAUAUCCUCGUUGUGAGUUAAUAGUUUCUUAGUUUUAUGGCUUGAUAUCAUCAUCUCUCAGUUUAAUCGACAUAUUAUUGUUUGAAUCUUGAUUGUUAAGGUCUUGGCUGAGAUUUUGAAAAUAUUCAGACUUUUGGUUUGAUAAUGAAUCAAUAAUGUGUUUGAAUUGUUGGUUUCAAUGCUCUUUCCGAUUUUGUUUGUAGCUCUACAAUUGCAUCUGGUGUAUGAGUUGAUUCACUUUAAUUUAUUAAUUUUUUCUUAUUUUCGAAAUGCAUUCACUACCUAAUAUUUUGUUCACCACUGUUAACUCUUUUUGAGUUUAUUUAGUCGUAAUAUUGGUGUUGGUUCUCUUGUCAACUUCUCACUAUUGUGUUUGAAUCGAUUUAGUAGAAUAUACGUUGAAGUGCUUUUGACUGAUACAAGAUAAAAAAAAUGACGAAAGAGUUAAUGAAUUGAGGCUAGAAUCUUCGUUUAGUGUCGAACUCCUCUUAUAUCUCUCCUGUUCUAACGAGACUACUGGUUGUGAGCUUGUAUGUAGUUGUAAUUUGCUGAACUUAACUUCCUCUUCUCAAACCUAUACGGCUCAUCAAAAAGUAUCUGCAUCUCUACUAGUUUUUUUGUUUAAUUUACAGUCGCUUAGAGUUUGUGAUUUUAUAUGUUAGUUGUUUGUCAGUAUCUUAGCUCGAACAUGAGAAGAUUUUGUCCAUAUAGAUCCUAUUGCGUAUCUAUUUAUUUUGUGGUGACAUACUAACCUGGUAUUUAUUCAAUUCAAUAGUUGCUAAGAUUAGUGUAUAACUUAUUUGCUUAUUUUGUUGAUCACUAGCAUACUUUCUUCCUUUACAUGGUUGAUCCAAUGCUAUAGCGUUUAAGGCUUGUUAGAAUUUUAAGAUUUGCUGUUCUUCAAAAUAUCUGUUUCGUCCCCUUUAGGUACAUAGGAGACAUUUGCUUAGCAUGAACUUUGCACUUUAGGCUGGAUUAGUGAGUUGUGUUAUAUGGAAAAAAUAUGUUUUCAAAUUCAAGUUAGAUUAAUCAAUAUUGCUUCCCUUAAUGUCAUGGGAUUCUGUUGCCAUUUUUCUCAAUUAUGUAAUAUAUAUAUAUAUAUAUGUAUAUAUUUAUUUUUUUUCUCUUCAUCCAUCACAACAUACUGUAUGAUUAGAAAGAAAGGUUUGUUUGUCUUAGUGACUUCAAGUCAUAUUGAAUUAGUGUUUGUUAACCAUGGUCUUAUCCUCUAUGGUUCCAAAAAACUUAUGAGGCGUACUAAAGUGCUCACUGUAGGUAUUUUAUCUCUGUUCAGAUUUGGCUAAUGACCAUUAAUUGCUUAAAGUCACAAAUUUCCUUGUAUUGGAUUUAACUUUGCAUAAUAGCCUUUAAUGUAUUAAAAAUAGUGGCACAAUUUAAGAAUAUGACAUUUUAGCCGUAUUAAAUCAAUGGGUGGCCACUUAUACAUUAUGCUUUUCUUUUAUGCACGAGUACAACUUGUAAUUUCAUUUUAGGAUCAUAUGGGAUUGUUUGUUAGUAUGCAUCUUUCUUGGAUAAAAAAAUAUGUAUUUUUCAUUAAGUUAGUUUUUUCUUCUUGCAUAUAUGUCAGUUGGAUUAUAUAUUAAUUCCUUUCAUUUGCUUUGUGGCAUGUAAAAUCCGCUUGAGUUCGCCAUGAACUCUCAUCUCCUUCUCUUGCAUUUCGGGAGAGCCAUAAAGGCUCAAGGUUCCUUAAUCGAGUCAAACUCCUAAGAUCGACGUACAGACGAAGAAGCCGAAGAGUUUGGGCCAAAGAGUCCAAAUCUUUAUCUAUUCUUAUUGUAAUUUGUUAUUUGGGCCUAAGCCCUUAUCGUCUUUUAUUUUUUGUAUAUAUUUUGUAUUAUUAUAUGAUUAGUCUAGGACAGGUACAAAACAAAUGGGUCAAAAACCCAGAACAGGUGGGUCCUAAAUUUCGAUCAAGGCGGACAGAAAACCCGGAUUUGGACCCAAUUUUCUCUCUC